GAUGAACGCUGGCGGCGUGCCUAAUACAUGCAAGUCGAGCGAACAGAUGAGAAGCUUGCUUCUCUGAUGUUAGCGGCGGACGGGUGAGUAACACGUGGGUAACCUACCUAUAAGACUGGGAUAACUCCGGGAAACCGGGGCUAAUACCGGAUAAUAUUUUGAACCGCAUGGUUCGAUAGUGAAAGACGGUUUCGGCUGUCACUUAUAGAUGGACCCGCGCCGUAUUAGCUAGUUGGUAAGGUAACGGCUUACCAAGGCGACGAUACGUAGCCAACCUGAGAGGGUGAGCGGCCACACUGGAACUGAGACACGGUCCAGACUCCUACGGGAGGCAGCAGUAGGGAAUCUUCCGCAAGGGGCGAAAGCCUGACGGAGCAACGCCGCGUGAGUGAUGAAGGUCUUCGGAUCGUAAAACUCUGUUGUUAGGGAAGAACAAAUUUGUUAGUAACUGAACAAGUCUUGACGGUACCUAACCAGAAAGCCACGGCUAACUACGUGCCAGCCGCCGCGGUAA
rnacentral:rRNA from 1 species